UAUGUGGCAAGACAUGUAAUAGCUAGGUUAUUUAGGUUUAGAAGUAGUUUCAUGGGGCGGGAUGUAGUCCAGUAUAUCACAUCUGUAUGUGGCAAGACAUGUAAUAGCUAGGUUAUUUAGGUUUAGAAGUAGUUUCAUGGGGCGGGAUGUAGUCCAGUAUAUCACAUCUGUAUGUGGCAAGACAUGUACUAGCUAGGUUAUUUAGGUUUAGAAGUAGUUUCAUGGGGCGGGAUGUAGUCCAGUAUAUCACAUCUGUAUGUGGCAAGACAUGUACUAGCUAGGUUAUUUAGGUUUAGAAGUAGUUUCAUGGGGCGGGAUGUAGUCCAGUAUAUCACAUCUGUAUGUGGCAAGACAUGUACUAGCUAGGUUAUUUAGGUUUAGAAGUAGUUUCAUGGGGCGGGAUGUAGUCCAGUAUAUCACAUCUGUAUGUGGCAAGACAUGUGAUAGCUAGUUUUAGAAGUAGUUUCAUGGGGC
rnacentral:lncRNA from 1 species